rnacentral:lncRNA from 1 species
GGUAAGUCUGAAAAUCAGCUGCGCAACUGAGGACCUGAAGGACCCCCCUCCCCCUCUUCGACUCUUGUUUUCUUCGGAGAUACCCACUCAUAACAUCUUUCACAUCUUCUUCUUCACCAGAAGAAGAACGAGACCUAAGCUAAUACAUGCCUCCACCCUAAAGAAUCCCGCUGCAAAAACACACAUACACAAGAAAUAAGAUCUGGGAAGGAACACGAGCAAAAGAAAAGUUGUCUAGCCAUGGAACCUUUGUUUCUCACCCCAAAAUACCUAGCAAAAAUGAGUUGGAAAUAACCGCAAAACGGAACCUCCCCCAGCUCAAAAACAUAGCUGAAAACAUGGCCAAAUAAAUCAGCCCCAAACUAAACUAAAAUCAGCCGAAAAAUGCAGCAAAAUCCACUUCAAAACACCACCGCCAACCUUGCUGAAAUUUAGCUCCAAAAUAGCUUCGAACUCAGCUGUAGUUCAGUCCAUGAACCAAUUAAUCAGAUCUUAAAUCACCAUAAAGAUAGACGAGGUCGAAUUCGCCGUCGCUGUUUUCGGCCAUGGUCACUGGUAUUUGGUCCGUUUGUUGAUUUGCAAACAUUUAAAGUUCAAAUUUCAGUUUCAAAAGGUUCAUUCUUCUUCUCCCUUUCUAUGGUUUGCACUGUUAUUUUGUGUAUUGUGAUGGAUUACUCCUUGAUAUUAUUUCGUUGUGAUAAUUUUCGUGUUAUUAAAAUUGUGAUCCAAAUUCUUAGACUUGCUUAGCUGCAAUUAUUUUAGUACGAUUUCUCUCCUAGCGUUCACCAGGCUGAGGACAAGAUGCCUCUUUAUCUAAACUAAAAUUUGACAUUUUAUUUUAAUGGUUAUAAGUUGAUUAUCUUGGGAUCACGUAUUUGAUAUCUUCCCUCUAUAUGAAUAGCACCUCUUUGAUUCUUAGAUAUGUCAAAUAGUCUAUUAUGUUCACAAAUAUAUGGGAUAGUUUUGAAGGCGUAAUUCUCUAUUUAUUUAGCUAAUUUUUAGUCACAAAAGGAAGUAUAACAGUAUAUCCUUCAAGUACUCAUUGGAUUCCUUUUUUUUGAAACGUUGAAUUCAGAUUUUGUGAUAAGUAUUUUGUUUCUUCUAUAAAAUUUUCGUGGAAUUUGGAGUAUUCUAGUGUUCUGUCCUCUUAUCAAUAUUUUUGAACAUGUUCCGUUUUAAUUAGUUUCAAAUUAACCUUAGAAUUCGAGGCAUGUUAUUUAGCAAAAUGUCAUGGUCCUCGCAAAAUUAAAAACGCGUAGUUGCUUUAGGCGCAUUAUUUAAAUAAUUUACCUUCCUUAAAUUCGUGUACGUAUUGAUGUGACCCAAAUCCAAAUCUCAAUGUUAAAAUAUGUCGAAGACCGUGGGUAUAUUUAUGUGAUGUGGUCCCAGAUGCGUUUUAACAACGUUACAAUCUUCUUAAAAUUGAAUAAAGACGGUCAUAAGUUAAAAUUUGCACAUAAGUUCAUAAUUGUAAAAAAUCAAAUGAUUAAGCUAAUUAUAACAGUUGAGCAACGGUGCUAUAACCACGAAACUCGGGAAUGCCUAACACCUUCUCCUAAGUUAACAGAAUUCCUUACCUGGAUUUCUGGCUCGUAGACUAUAUUACAGAGUCAAACCUUCCUUAAUUCAGAAUUUUAAACCGGUGACUUGGGACACCAUUAAUUAUCUCAACUGGCGACUUUGAAUUUUUAAAUAAAUAAAUCCUAUUUUGAUUGUCACUUUAAUUGGAAAAAACUUCCAUCUACAUCCUUUGUAGGGAGUAGUAAAAAAAGGAGGUGUGACAAUGAGGAGGGGUGAGGUUUUUUCUUCAGUAUUUUUUCUUUGGCUAGAGGUUUUUUUUUUUUCAAUUUUUUUCUGAUUUAUGACACGUGUCAGAUGCUGAUUGGCGAGUGUAAUAGCAAUCUUUAAACAAA